rnacentral:tRNA from 1 species
GCCUGGGUGGCUCAGUGGGUUGGGCAACUGACUUCAGCUCAGGUCAUGAUCUCACGGUUCGUGGGUUCAAGCCCUGCAUCAGGCU